rnacentral:sRNA from 1 species
CCGAACCCAGGGCCUUGCACUUGCUAGGUAUUAUGAUAAUUUUUAUAAAAGUGGUCACAGUCCAUUAAUAGAGUUGAAAUUUCAUUUCACUAAGACACUCCCAACAUUAAAAACACUUCAAUUUCUAUUACAUAAAAUUGGGGGUGGGAGUUGUUCAGUUGGCAGUGCCUGCUGCGCAAGCACGGGAACCUGAGCUCCAUCCCUAGGACCCUCAGAGGGAUGCGGCUGUGGUGACUCGCAAUCCUUGCACUGACGCAGCGCCCGCACACGCACAUCCCUGCUCCCUUUCUCUUUUUGUACUGACUUUUCUUGCCUUUGAGUUGUGAACCUAGCCUUCAAUGGCUGAGCUGUCGGUACAGACUUACUAUCUACUUUUGCUAGUCUUACACAUGUGCUAUACUCUCACGGGCAGAAAGGGCUGACAAAGCCUUGGACCUGCAUUAUCAGAGCAACGCUGUGCAGUCUAUGCCAUCAGAUUCGUUUCUGGAAGCAAGAGAGAACAAAGCAAAGGCAUAAGCUCAAGUCUCCGUGGGCUCCAGCCUGCACUACGUACACAGUGAGACCCAGGCUCGCAAAGGACAGAGAAAGUCUACUGGUGACAUAGCUAGGUUGGUGCAGUGCCCGCCAGGCAAGCAUGAAGCUCUAGGUUCAAUCUCCAGUACCACAUAAACUGGGCGUGAAAGCAUACACUAUAAUUUAGAGACUAGAGGUUGGAGGAUCAGAAGUUCUAGGUCUUUGACCUCACAGUAGGUUCAAGGUUAGCCUGGGACACGCAAGACCCAACAAACAAACAAAAUAAGCCUACCUAAAAUAUUUGUGCAAAAAAACCUUUAGAGUAUAUAAAUGACAGGGCUGGUAAAAUGCUCAAACUCUAAGCAUAAGCCUAUAAUGUCUAUGAAGAAUAAUCGAGUUAGAAGGCAGUAAAAUAAUUCUUCAUUCAUAGACAGGUUAGACCUAGAGUAACACAAACAGUCAGUGUGGCCAUUCUCCAUCUUCCCGCCAGGCGGUCAACAGAAUGGGAACAAAAGUUAUCAACUAAAUAGUGUAAGCCAUUUUACUUAACACGGUACAAUGGUUUGUACAAUGGUUCUGGAUCUGAGAAGAAAUGGAUUCUCUGUAAUUUUAAAACGUUUUCAACUUUAUAAAAUGACUUAACUUCAACGGCACUCACCCUUACGUGACACAGCUCGCAUACGAGAGGCCACGUGAUGCACUUUCCAGAGCAACUGAUCUUUCAGUUCUCUCUAAAAUCAGGCCAUGAUGGUUUCUUGUUAAAAUGAAUAUAAAAAUUUAAAGAAACAACUCACAGGGAAGGCAGUGAGGUAUGGGCAAACUCCAAAACGUUAGGAACUUCUUGUUUAGUAAAAGCUGUACUGUUAAAUGUGUGUUUAGUGAAAGCCGUUCUAUUAAACAGUUAUGAGCCUGCGACCUACAUACGCUCAGAUUCCUGUUUCGCCAGUACAUAGAUGCUUGAGACUUACUAAAGAACUUAAACCUCUCCCUUCCCCCAACCCGUGUGAGUGUGUGUGUGUGUGUGUGUGUGUGUGUGUGUGUGUGUGUGUGUGUGUACAGCAUAUGCACUUAUGUGUGCAGGUACACGUGCACACGUGAAGCCUGAGGAGGCUGUCAGGUGACCUCCUCUCCCACUCUCUGCUCUAUUCCUUUGAGGCAGGGUUUCUCCCUGAACAGAGCUCAUGUCUCCAGCUAUGUGGUGGCCAGCGAGCUGCAGUCGUCCUUCUAGCUCCAUGCUCCAGGGCUGGGUCAUAGGCACGUGAGAGACCACACUGACUUAUAGGUGCUAGGACCUGGAUCCAGGUCUUCACGGUUGUGCAGCAAGGACUCUUAGCCAGAAGCGAACUCUCCUAGACUUUAAAAUUUCAAAAGGAUUUCACAAGGAAUUAAUUUUAUAAAGCAAAAUAUAAUUGGUUACAGGAAUAAUUAUUUCCUACAGUCCUUACAGUUAAUUUUGUGUUUGUGAGUAUAUAUUAAGUAUUCAGUAGAGAAUAAUUGAAUGAAACAAAUAAGUUUUCUAUACUAGGGUAUAAUGUAUAUUCCUAUGUUUAUGAAAACAAAAUUAACAGCCUUGCUUAUAACCAGUGAUUCAUGAAAAAAGUAGGUAUUAAGCGUUAAUGGUAUAACAAGGGCUGGAGAUCCAAAUAUGCUAUGGUAGACGAAGUUCUCCCUCAUGAAACUUAUAGUCUAGGAAAACAGCAGAGAAAACAGACCAAACACUAGACACUGUCAUAGUGCUUCCAGGGAAACACUAGACACUGUCAUAGUGCUUCCAGGGAAACACUAGACACUGUCAUAGUGCUUCCAGGGAAACACUAGACACUGUCAUAGUGCUUCCAGGGAAACACUAGACACUGUCAUAGUGCUUCCAGGGAAACACUAGACACUGUCAUAGUGCUUCCAGGGAAACACUAGACACUGUCAUAGUGCUUCCAGGGAAACAAAAGGCAGCGUUGUUACGUCACAGCAAGGGGAGGGUGAGUUAAGAGUUAGAAAGGCCUGCUUGAGGAGGGACAGGUGAGACAGAACCUAAACAAGCUAUCUGCAAGAAUGAGGAAAAAAUAUUAAACCAGUUGGACAAAUAAAGCAAAAGCACAAAGAGGAUGGCGGGACCUAACUUGGUACAUCUGCGUUGAGAAAACACAAAGCCAAAGCUGAUGCUACCAGCUGGCCGAACAGCACCGGAGCCUGCACAUAUCACACCCUCGCUGGCGGCACUCCAGCUCCUCUGGUAAGGAUGAUUCGUCUCAUUCUGAGCUGAUUCUAGUGAGCCACCUACUGGCUCAGGGACAUUCGACUUCUUACCCUACAGAUAUCUGCACAACUUAUAACUGGAAAAGGAAACCUGGAUGGAAAUUCCUGCUGGAUGGAUUCACUGGUCAACUCUACAUAGCAAAGGUAGAACUUCAGACUAGUUAGCACAUGGCGCACAGGGCAAGAAGCUACUGAACCAAUGUUAUCCGUCACAGCAGCAUGAGCCGCUCAUGAGCGGGAAGCCUAAGGAACUCUGCAACUCAAAUGUUCAGCCUGGCACACUUCAGGAUCUCCAUGUUCACUGUCAGCAUAUUACAAUUACCAAAGGGGACCUGUACUUCUAUCAACGAUCUCAUUCCCUGCUUUUCACUAGAACCACCUCAGGCCCACGAAGACACGAUGCCCCAUACGCCACCUGCAGAAUGUCUCUGUGUCGCUGUAGCGUGUGCAUCAGGGCUGCGUUCAGGGAGGGCACCCCUGCACUUCUCCCCAAGUAGCUGGUUAUUGGCCUGCAGUCUGGCUAGGUCUGGAGGAGUGCUCAGAGUACCUGCGGAAGAUGCCUCUACUGUUUCCUGCUUCACUGACACAGCUUUGAUGUCUGCUCUGCUCACAUAGGUUUCUCUGGCUUCACGAAUUCAGUUGGUGAAGGGAUACCUCUCCUCUGUGUUCUGUGUUUCAUUAGAAGCUGUGCUGCGAAGAUGGCCUCUUCAGGUCAUACCUACACAACUCAGACCACACGUACUUGACGCCCCAUCCUCCGGUUUGUGGUGAUUCUACAUGGGAUCCAGUAGCCAACAUGAGCUUCAUAAACUUGGCAGUGGAAAAAUGUUUUUGGACAUUUUAUGUUACGCCAUCACUAGGAAUUAAUUCAAAAUCAAAUGUGCAGCUUCCAAGGUUAUCUGGGCUGCACCCGCCCGCGUUUUCUCAGAAAACUUCACUCCAGUUUGGUUCUGAGCAUACGACCCACACUGUGCAUGACAACUCAUGACAUAAGGGCAACAAAAAAUGUGGCCAGCAA